AAUAAAGAUAAACCCAUUAACACCGAUUAAUGUCCAUAUGACAUGUUAUAUUGGCAUUUAGAAAUCAGACGUUAUAUGUAUAUGGUGCAUUUCGACGAUAAAAACAAACAUGAUUGGAAGAUUGCUAAUAGAACUGAUGCUGUGCUUUCGAGCUCCCAACAAAGCAG